UUUUAAACCCUGUUCUAGUCCUCGCCUUCACAACCUCCUCCGGCAAGGAGUUCCACAGGUUGACUGCACUGUGUGUAACUCCCGGGCUUUCUGCUCUUGAUUACAGGUGUCCGGUCGCACAGCCCCCACUGCAGGCAGCCUUCCACCCCAGCGCCCUUCCCACCCUGCCCCCGCCAGCCUGUCCCUUUCUGCUCCUUCUUACGCUGGCUUGGUCGACCCGCCUCCUAUUCAGGAGCAGCCAAUCCAGCGCAAGACUGGCCAAAGGUGAGAGAGGGGAUGUUCUAGCCCCGCACCCCCCCCUUCCAGGAGUGGCCCCCCUGGGAUGGGAUUUCCCGUCCCUUCGCCCCCAGCCAGGGAAAUGGGAAAAAUGUAGUAUUGAAAGGGGGUGGAUGCAAACACAGCCCAAGAGGGGGUGUGUGUGUGUGUGUGUGUGUGUGUGUGUGUGUGUGUGUACGAGGGCUUGUACAACACAUGACUCUAGGGCAAUUUUUGGGCCUCAAGCGGAAGGGGCGGGGCCAGGAUGCUUGCCUACCCCUGCUCUGUGGGGUGUGUGUGUGGGGGGGGAAAUGCACAUCUGAGGGUUUGUAUAAUACCUGGCAUUGAGGGGUGGCCAGAGGGUUUUCUUUAUCAGCCCUGCUUUGGGCUGGCUGCCGGCAGCUCUCCUAGGCGGCAAACUCGUCCGUGAGUUAAUGGGACCGACCCAAACCAGCUUUAGGCAUAGACAGGAACAGCGUUUGCAUGAGGGUAAACCCAGCUCUGGCUACAGCAGCCUGGUCAACAAGGCCUCCAUCAGGGCCCAGCUCCCAUCUGGAUGCAGCAGCCUGGCCCUGACCCCAUGGUCCGUCCCCCAUCUGGCUGCAGGAAGGGCUGACACUGACCUUCCGUCCUGCUGCUGUGGGGGUAGGAGGGGAGGCCUGAAUCCCCCCCACUCACCCCCAACCCUCUGCCCUGAGCCCCCCGCACUCCACCCCACACUUACAACAGUACCUGUAAGAAAUUAAUCGCAACUCUUCCCCCUGCUGUAACGCCCCUCCCAAGGGGGGCCGGGUUGUGAUAGGACAGUGCCUGUAAGAAACUGAAGUUACUUUCUCCCGUUAUUGUCUUGGCAGGGUCAUUUGUGUUAAUUUGUUAGGAGCCGCAGCUUAAUUCAGCUGCUAUUGAAGGCAAUGAGAGUUUGAAUGCAGUAGUAGCCCGUCUGGUCUGUGUGCUCUGUGGUUGGUUUGCAUUUGUCGUCUUUUGGGUUGUUGUUUUUUUUGUUGUUGUUUAAAGGACCGAUUUUUUUUUUUUUUCCUUUCUUUUCUUUAAAGGCCUUGAAAUCCAGAGGCCCAGUUUUUCAGCCUUUUGCACGUGUCAGUGAGAGAGGCUAAUCCCCAGCAAAACACCCAAGCCUGGAAGCUUUGCUGGAGGACAGAUGGAGGGGCAGGCCCAGAUUCUGGGUUGGGGCAGGAUUAGCGCAUGGCAUGAUGGGUCCGGUCUAGCUUUACUUGGCCCUGCCCAUGUGCUGGGGGGCUGGACAGGAUGUCCUCUUGGGUUCUGUGCCCUCACAUCCUUCCUGGGGCUUGCAAAUGUAGAGGGCUUGUCACAGAUUCAUGGAAUCCCAGGGUCGGAAGAGACCUCAGGAGUCAUCAAGUCCAGCCCCCUGCCCAAAGCAGGACCAACCCCGACUCCAUCAUCCCAGCCAGGGCUUGGUCAAGCCGGGACUUAAAAAUCUCUGGGGAUGAGGCAGCCCUGCGUGAAAGCUGACGCCGUAGAUUCCCUCUGCCGUUCCGCUAAGCUAGACCCGGCCCAUUGGCUGUGGGCGUAGAUUUUCCACGCAGCCCUCCGGGUGCGUUCUGAGGGGCGUGCGAAUAAGACCAGUCACAAGGGGCCUUGGCCUGGGAUCCCAGUCUGGGGCGAGUCCAACUCCUCUCUCGCCUUCGGCAGUUUUGGUCCUGGCUGUCACCCCUUCCCGGGCGCUGGCUGAUUCUCUGGGGUCUCUCUCUCUGGCUGGUGCUGACUUGCUCAUUUCUCCUCCCCGGCCUCGCUCUGCUCCGCGUUGCCCUGGCCCUUAGCCGCAGGCCUUCUUACAGGCUGGGGCCUCCCUUGGGCACGGGGGCCGCCCCCUCGUUAGAGACACUGGCGGGGGCAAACCUCCUGGGUACCCACCUGGCGUGGAAGGGGCUGUAUGAAUAGCCAGCAGGCAGUGAUGCCGUAAACGUGACCGGGGCUCAUCCAGAGCCUGCCCCUCCACGGGCCGAGACGCCGGUGCCGCCCCCAAAGGGCCAGCAGCGCGUCCCUGGGUGUGUCUCAUGCCCCCGCCACAGCGACGAGCUGCCAACUCAGAGAGCCUGACUCCAGCCCACACCCUUGGGGGGCCGUGUCUCCUGUACGUGGCCCUGGGGCCAGCUUGUGCGCUGCCGUCUCCCUUGCCUCCGUCUCGCCCCUUCUCGCUCCCCCGGGUCUGGCAGGACCCCAGAAGCUCAGGGAUCGCAGGCCACUCCGAGGCCCUGGCAGAUUUCCCUAUUCUGAAGUUGGAAAUUAACAUGCCUCUUCCGGAGAAGGGGCCAAUGUAGACGUAGCCGUUGUGUUUGCUGUGACCUGAACGAGGAAACCCACCAGCUUCGUGUGUACCACAGCGGCCCUGCCACAGACCAGCCGUUCUCCCUUGGCACGCUGACCUCGGCAGGAUGGUACAGCCCAAAGCUCCUGUGGUCUCCAGCUAUCAGCGCCUGCAGAAUGACCUGGGUCCCCAGGCAGCCUGGGUCCGACUCGGCCUCUUCCAGCCCACCACCAGAGAGACCUGCCUCUGCACCGCCAUGGGAAACAGGCAGGAGCCCUCACGACUCAGCACAGAGCAGAGAAUCCCAUCGCAGAGUUCUGACUGACCACAGGACCCUUGUGCCACCACCGGGAAAGAUGUUGGGGGUGAGCAGGGAGAGGACCCGUUGCAGUUCCUGUCCCAUGUGCACCCUACUCGAGCUUCAGCCAAGUGCGAGUCUUGCUUGUGUUCCCACAGAACAUCGUGGCUUCCUUGUCCCAUGGGAAGCGUGCCAGCAUCCUGCAGGAGCUGGCAAACAGGAAAGCAGUGAGUAAUCAUGCCAGGCUGGGGCCUGUCUUAUUAAUCACUGUGUAGUAGCAAGACUCUAGUAUUAAUGCUGUGAAGAGGGGGGAAAAUGACUUGGGAAAAUGACUCCUCCAGCCCCACCACCCUACAAUCAAGUGUGCUAUUCCCAAUGCAAAACGCUGUCCUUGAGGUACUCAGUCCAUGCUGAUUUAGUGACUUUCAUACCUCCCUUGCAUGAGUGUAAUAACUUAAUUUGCUAAAGGAGGUUAAGCCACUGUCUGUUCAGGUCAACACAGGGCAGCACUUGGAACUAGCAGGAGCACAGAGGCCAGCUUUUUGAGAACAGACUCCAUUGCACUAAUAAGCAUCAGUGAUAAGGUAGGUGCUGAGGUUUUAUUUUUUUUAAAAAGAUGCCACUUGUGGGUGCUGAGGGGGGGGAAGCUGUUCAGUUGUUUCCAAGCACCAGGCUGAUUUUUUUCUCCAUCCCAUGGAGUUGGUUGGCAAGAGGGGCAUCUGCGGUUGUCCAUAUGGCUGAUGGUAGGCAGGAUGAAGAACUUAGCUUGCGUGACAAACAGGUGAGCACCAUGUUAGGGUUAGCGGAGGGGUGCAGGAAUCCUUUGAAAGGAAUUGGCACUUGGCUGUAAGAUUUCCUCACCUUUAAUAUUAUAUGGAGGCAGACUCCACUUGUGUAGAAAUCUGUCUAAGAAAGCAGGGUACUGCCACUUUGAGCACGUGACAUGCAGUGUUUAGUGUUUAGGAAACCACUGUUAAGUCUUAUCUAAAGAUGAUUGCUAGGAUGAUGUCUCUGUACGGUAAGAACAGUGAUGCUUACAGAAUCAGCACCAGCAAGGAACAGCAGUAGAGGUUAAUGAUAAGGGCUUUUAUUGAAGAGAGUACAGGUGGGUUCCUACACUAGAGGCAAAGUUAGUCACAUUGCAGUUGUAAAGCAAACAGCCACAAAACACCACCACCACAAAUAGCAGAAGCAUGCACAGGAAGGAACAGAUCCUACUACUUCAGAACAGCAGAGCACAAGAGAAGAUACUUGCUACAAAGGCCAGAAACACUGGUUAGUGCACAACCACUACAGGAAGUGGCAUUAGCAAACUGAAAAAAGAUACUAACAGGAACUGCCAGUUUAGAUUUUGAAAAUUACACAAUACAUAAUUCCCUACUUCAGAUAAAAGUAGAGGUAAGGCCCAUGGCUACAUUACAUAUAUCCCAGCUGUUCAGGCUAAGUUUUACCAUCACACAUUAGGACCUGAAAUAUCACUUAAGGGCCAUCUGAUUCUCCCCCAUCAAUGUGUGGUUUGGAGGGAAAUAAUGUCACCCUUCGUUUAGCUAUAGCUACACUGCCCAAAACUGAAGUGUAAACCAGGCUCCAGGAAGAAUGUGUUGCUGUACUAUGCUUGGUAUGUAGCCAGACUAGCUCCACUGCACCUCCCAUCAGCAGGGUUCAGAAGGAGAAAGUACUUCCUAUAUUCCUAUUUAAAUCUGCUGAGCUUGUAUACCUACAGCUAAAGUUUUCUAGUUACGUGGUCUAGAAGUAAACAUUGAGCCUUAGUUUCCAAGACACUAACUUUGAGAUCCAGCACCAAUACUUGGACUCUCACUUAACGAGGCUCUAGACAACUUUUGAGAGGCCCCACUGUGUCAAGCCUUCUAUUUUUUAACCUCAGGGUAUCAAUCAGUCCUGCCUCCCCAAGGAAGGCAGUUUUACAAGAAGGAACUUUGUGUGCUAAAGAGAAGGCAGAAAGCCUGCAAGAGGUAAGAAAGCUGUAGUAACUGUUUUAACCCAAUCAAUCUACUGUUUCCCUUUAACAAACUAAUUAGAUUGUCAAAGAUAAGGCAGGCAGUGGGCAUGAUGUGCUCUUCAGCAAGGUUUUUGACAUACCUUCUCCCCCCCACCUCCCAACAUUCUCACAAGCAAGCUGGAGAAAUGUUGUCUUGUUACAACUAAAUUAAGGAUUAACUAGAAUUAAAAGGGAUCUUGACAAAUUGAGAGAUUUAGACUAUAGCCAACAAAAAAAAUUCAGCAAAGAAAUUUAAAGAGCUACUCAUAAGCAGAACACACCAAAUGCACAUAUAGGGAUCUGCAAUAGAUUCUCAGCAGUUGAGAGUUAUGGUAGUUAUUGCAUGAGUCCGAUUAACAAAAACAUAGCAAUACACAUGACAGAUUGUGCCAGUGACUGGAAAGGAUCCAGAGGUGAGUUAAAGAUGAUCAAAGGCUGAAGGAACUGGUUAGGUGUAGUUUGGGAUAAAGGGCAGGGAGGGGCAUAACAUGACAGCAGUCUAUUACUUGAAAGGCUCCCAUAAAGAUUGAGAAGUUCUACCCUGGCAAGAGAUAAGAGGCAGCGAGUGGUUCAAACAGCACAGCAGAUUAAGAUUAAGUCAAAGGAAAAAUAUCCUAGUUGCAAGAACAGCAGGACACUGGAACAAAUUGCUUUAGGGAAGUUGUGGAAACUCACUGGGAAUCUUCAAAAUGGUGCUGGAUAGCAAUCUGUUUUCCCAAUUAAAACAUCUUUGAGCAUUGACAGAAUAGCUUUGCUUUUCCUCUUUUAGGUAAAGGCCCAUCUCUAAUAGUAUCCUGUGAAUGUCAAGUUAAGUUUUGUCUGUAUAUAGUGGGACACCUGUAACAAUUAUUGCUUAUUUCAGGCCCAGCUGUUAAUUCUAGAUCAAAUCUAGCACUCAAGAAAGACGACACAGUUGACUCAAUUGGCCAAGCAAGAUUACAUUCUGCAGCAAAGGAUCAUCAAGAUUAUUUGUUACUUACCUCACUGCAGUUGACAAGUAGCUGGGUCAAGUGAGCAAGCU